rnacentral:lncRNA from 1 species
AAAUAACAAAAUUUAAGAAAAAGAAGAAAUAUAUAAAGAACACCAAAAAUAUAAACAAUAAAAAAUAAUCCUAUUAUUGAAAAGUAAACAAAAAAAAAGUCUUUAAAUUGACAUGUUAACUUUUCUCAAAGGUCCAUCAGAAGAAACUAAAAACAGGAAUAACAUAACUUCAAGAAGCAUAAAUUAUAGAAGCACAACGAUCAUGAAAAUGUUCAAAGUAAUUUAUCUUAAAAGAGAUAAAAGGAGAAAAGAAGGAUCGAUUGGGCAUCAAACUCUUUUAUAAAUUUGAAGGGUAAACAUAACCGAAACAACAAUUAAAAAAAUUUGUAAGAGGUUCAGAUUCAUUUUCGUCCAUCAUGAGAAGAAGACACCAUAUGUCUACCUUCUUCUUGCCUGGAUCCAACCUAAGAGGUAGACAUGGCUGCAGUGGUUGCUACAUGGGCCAUCCAAACUGCCCCGCCAUCAACCUGUUUUGGUUGGAAAACAGAGCAUUGAAGAGAGGUGACAAUGGUCAUGCUUCAUCCAUACCAUAUGGAUCUAGGCUUCAGCAUCACCAUGAACAGUCAAUCUGAGUUUGAACACCAACAUGGUGAAUGAUCGAAACCAUCAUUUAUUUUAAUUUCAUCAUCAUCACCUCUUAGUGAAUCAACAGAAGUAGUAAGAAAUUAACCAAGCACUAUGAAGAGAAAAUUAGGGAGAAAAUAAAUCUUCAAUAUUAGAAAGGGAAAAAAGAAGAGUGAAGACGAUUAUUUCAAAAACAUCAAUUAUUUCCUCAUCGCAAGACUACAUCUUCAGCAUCACCAUGAACAACCGAUCUGAGUUCGAACAUCAACAUGGUGAAUGGUCGAAACCAUCAUUUAUUUUAAUUUCAUCAUCAUCACCUCUUACGGAAUCAAUAGAAAUAGUAAGAAACUAAACAAGAAAUGUGAAGCGAAAAUUAGGGGAAAACUAAAUUUUCAAUAUUAGAAAGGAAAAAGAAGGAUGAGAGAAGACAACCUUUUCAAAGCUGUCAAUUAUUUCCUCAUUGCAAGACUACAUCCUCUGAUCCCCAAAUGUCUUAUGUUGUGUACUAAACUAACCAGCUAGCAAGGAUGACAUCACCACAAUCCAAGCCAACCAUUGUAAUUACCUUUCCUUCCCCCAUUAUCAGAUAGAUCCCUUCGAUUAUGAACAAAUAUGAUACUCCCAAUAGAUCCUCCUCUUUUCCAUUACAUUUUUAAUUGUAGUAAUCAUAUGAGUGAAUAGACAAGAAAAUCUUGGUUCCAACAAAUUAAUUCACAGAAUAAAACAAAAAAACAAAUUCUGCACAAGAGAACAACAAGACCAAAUCGACAUAAUGAGCAGAAACACCAAAGACUAACUAACCGAAUUCCAAAAACAAAAUCAUGAUACCACAAAAUUUUUCACUGAUAUCAUGACAUGGACUUAUACCAACCUUUUGUAUACGAUAAAUCAUGGUAUAAAAAGAUACUAAUUUUCCCAAACAAUAUGACCAACUGUUGUUUCAAAUUUCAAUAAAAUGCACAAAUGACAAACUAUAAAAUUUCAUGUCCUUAAGAUAUACAUAACACUUAAUUGCACAUUUACAUAACAAUUCACCACUACACAGACAUUUAACUUAACACAACUGCCAGAUCAUAUGACCAAAUAAAUUCUGAAUAGUAUAUAAACUCCAAACAGCAAUAAAUUCUGUACUUCUUUGCAAACAGUGUAGAUUCACAAACACUAAAAUUGUGUCAAACCUUCACUCAAAGGGCAUUAUUUGUUGUCAAUUCCAGACAAAUUUCUAGGACCAACGUAUAUUAUGGCCAAAACAACUAUUUAUAACUUGCAUCAAUAUGUCUUACUCACGUAUCAGUGAAGAUUAUUAGAAAAACUAUAUUGUUGAGGGAGAGGCAAUUGAAAGAAACAAGAAGAAUAAGUAGCAAACAUCCAAACUUAACACACGAAUGUAUUUGGACCCACCAUUAAUAAAGGAUGAUUGAAUAUGAUCAUUGGAACAGAAGAUGUUCUUGGUAAAUAACCAUAGAAGUGCGACUACUCAAUUAAAGAUUUUAAACUAUACAACUAAAGUGGAGUAAUCUUCAAAAGCAAUCAUCCACAAUAUCUACUCAAUUAAAUAAGGAUCCCAUAUAAAAUUUGAACCACUAGAGAAGAAUAUAUUGGCUGGGGCAGACAACAUUGAUCAGAUUAUAUCAUCCGGUCCAACCAACAAAAGAAAGAGGGCAACAAUUUUAUCAACACAAUUCCAAACGAUGCCGCCUGAACAAGCAUUUAUGCAAAUUGUAAAAAGAAUCAUUUUACUUAUGAGACAGAGAUACACCAUCCAAACCUUAAAUAACAUAUAAAUACCAAUAGCAGUGCUACAGAAAAUAAGAGAACAGUUCAUCUGAAAAAGAGAGAAGCAACCAACAACUACCUCCACACUUCGUUUAGGAUCUUUAGAUGCCUCAUUGCUUCAAACAAUAACGACACAUCCAAACAUGAAAUCGCUUUGCAAGUAUAGAUCUACGAAAAAGUGAUAAAAAAAAUACCUCCCAAUGAUAGUUCAUUCAAACAAGAAACCCUAUUACCUCACAGCACAUCACACAUUCUGCAUAUUGAGUACCAACUAGAGAGAAUAACAAGCCAGAUUCAAGUCAUAAGUCUCAUCUUAUUUACUUUCCAACCAAAUAAUAAAGACCCAGCUUCAUAACAUACAGCCAGAGCAACAAACAACCAGAGUAGCAAUGUAUGAGACACCCAAGUUCUAACAGUGGCAUUAAAAUAGCAUAAUAUUUCUCAUCAAAAAGGUGACACGAACCUGUGUCAAACAUAUGCACAUAGCAUAACACAUGGUACCAUAAGAUACUGAUAAAGUCACACAAUACGUUCAAGCGUCAUUUCAAAGAAAUAGCAUAUGCUAGGGUGCUAUAACGUAUGUGUGCAAAGAGAACAGAUUAUCCGAAAAGGAGAGAAGCAACCAACAACUACAUUGACACUUCCUUUAGAUGCCUCAUUGCUUCAAACAAUAAUGAUGCAUCCAAACAUGAAAUUGCUUUGCAAGUAUGGCUCCACAAAAAAGUGAAAAAAAAAAUACUUCCAAUGAUUGUUCAUUCAAACAAGAAACCCUUUUACCUCACAGCACGUCACACAUUCUGCAUAUUGAGUACCAACUAGAGAGAAUACGAAGCCAGACUCCGAGUCAUAAGUCUCAACUUAUUUACUUUCCUACCAAAUAACAAAGACCCAGCUUCAUAACAUACAGCCAAAGCAGCAAACAAGCAGAGUAGCAAUGUAUGAGACACCCAAGUUCUAACAGUGACAUUAAAAUAGCACAAUAUUUCUCAUCAAAAAGGUGGCACGAACCUUUGUCAAACAUAUGCACAUAGCAUAACUCAUGGUAGCAUAAGAUACUGAUAAUGUCACACAAUACGCUCAAGUGUCAUUUCAAGGAAAAAGCAUAUGCUAGGGUGAUAUAAUGUACGUGUGCAAAGAGAACAGAUUAUCCGN